rnacentral:tRNA from 1 species
GGGGAUUUAGCUCAGCGGCAUAAGUACCUGCCUUGCAAGCAUGAGGUCGUGAGCUCAAUCCCCA